UACGGGGGGAGCAAGCGUUGUUCGGAUUUACUGGGCGUAAAGGGCGCGUAGGCGGCACCGCAAGUCAGUUGUGAAAUCUCUGGGCUUAACCCAGAAAGGUCAACUGAUACUGCGGGGCUAGAGUGCAGAAGGGGCAACUGGAAUUCUCGGUGUAGCGGUGAAGUGCGUAGAUAUCGAGAGGAACACCUGCGGCGAAGGCGGGUUGCUGGGCUGACACUGACGCUCAUGCACGAAAGCGUGGGGAGCAAACAGG
rnacentral:rRNA from 1 species